rnacentral:SRP_RNA from 1 species
AGUAGAAAUUAAAGCCAUUGUCUGCUAAGCAUAUAGGUUGCUGGAGGAUGGCUCGCUUGAGCCCAGGAGUUCUGGGCUGUAGAAUGUGAUGCUGAAAGUUUAUUUGUGCUAAUCUCAACAUCAAUAUGGUGACCUCCUGGGAGUAGGGGACCACCAGGGUGCCUAAGGAGGGGUGAACAAGCUCAGGUCAGAAACAGAUCAGAUCAAAACUCCUGCACUGAUCUGUAGUGGGCUCACACCUGUGAAUAGCCACUUCCCUGAGCCUGGGCAAUAUAGCCAAACUCUGUCUCU